GGUAAUUAAACUAACACUAUUAAAUACCUUAGACAACAUUCAAACAUCAAACAUUGCUACAAANAAAUUAACAAACACAGUUAAAAAUAAUUAAAUUCAACACUAGUUCAAACACAUUAAACUCAACCUAUUAACUCGAUUAAUUAAAAACCAAAGAAACCAACAAGCCUAACUUAAUCCUAGCAAUUAACUUGACUAAAUGACAAUUAACAAUUAAUUUUAAAAGUCCAAUUGGCCAAAAAGAACCUCAUGGCCGUGCA
rnacentral:lncRNA from 1 species